UCCAAUCCGAGGAUGCUCUUCGUGUAUGAGAUUAAUAUAUGUUUUUGUUCUCUUCAAAUUUUCUAUUGUUUCCUUACUAUUAUUUCCGUAUGCCUUCCAUGUGUUCCAUCUUCGGGUUCUCACGGCUAAAUUGUAAUCAUGAUGAAGCUGUUCUGGAGACAAUAACGGAGUUUAUCAAAGUGGGUGGUAGGGGAAAGUUUCAUUCUGCCUUAUAUCACAAGCUUCUUCAUUCCAUUGUGAGUAGUAACUUCUAAAUUUAUUCUGCCUAUUGCUAAUUUUAUUUUGUGUCGAGAUUGGUGACACUGAAGCCUGCUUAGUGCCACUGCCAAGCUGUUCUGCAUAAGGACUGCUUUUUUUUGUAGGGAGAAUGACAUGAAUUGAGCGAGAGUUGAACAUAAACUUAAUCAGAGCCUUUAUCAUUUCACUGUUGAAUCUUUCAUACUUGUAGUUGAUCCUAGGUAAAUAUGGGAUAAGACAUUGAUGAAUUAUGUUGAUUAUAAACACCUAUUAGAUAUGAUUUCCACGAGUGCAUACCUCUAAGAGUUGGUAAUUUGUCUCAGUGGAUCUAGGCUUCUUCUUGCUCUUUAGGUGACAAAAUAUUUGGCCGCUCACUAUUUUAAAUAGUAUUAUUGUGUGUUGAAUUACUAUUUACAGGUUAUAACGAGUGAAGCUGAUGGUGUAUAAUUAAGUUUAUGAACCAUUUUUUUCAGAUAGUUUGAUUCUAUUAUAUCAAUUUAUUUCAUGUAGCAGCAUUUCUAAUUGGAUUUCUUCAAAUUUUCCCCUUUUCUAUUCUGGAAAACCAAGUGAUGGGAGAUAAAAUUUAUUCUCUUUUUGUCUAUGAUUAAUGUAAUUGGAUAGUUUUUGUCUAUAUUAUUAAAUGGCUCAUAAUAGCCAAGUUUUAUACCUAGAUAAUUAUGCUUUGUGGUAUUAAGUUUUGAUCACCAAGUGAAGUUUUUAGGACAAGGUUGUAGCUCACCUCUUUUUCAGGGAGAGUUUAUGCCUGUUGGGCAUUUCAACUUGACAUCACUUCACGCCCAAAACAAAAAGAAGGAGCUGCAUGAAAUAAUGAUAAGAUAGACUUGAGAUUAUACUAGGAUUGAUCAAUUGAAGUUAAUGCUAAGUUAAGGUUUAAAAGAUUUGUAUGGUUGUGGUAUGUCUUGUAAAGACAUCCAAGUUAGAAGAGUGAUGUGAACCGAUAUACAUUAUAAAAGGGAGAGGUAUACUGAAAUUAAUUUGACCUGGUGCAAAGAUUUUAAAUUAUUGGACGUUAAAAUAGAUGUCCACUUGAAUCAUGUAUGUCAUGAAUAAAGCUUGUCAUUAACUAAUAAUUGGACGUUUAAAUAAAUGUACAGUUGGAUCAUGUAAAUCAUGAAUAAAGCUUAUCGUGUACUAAUAAUUGGGUUAUCAAAGUAAAAAUAAGACAUUUCGUGCAUUAGGUCAGAUUAUUUCUAAACUACAUGUGCUUGCAGGUCCACUUUACGUUGACCAUUGACGAUUCUUUAUUGGAUUUGCUUGCAUUAAAGUAUUUCAAUUACAUUUAUGUCCGGUAUGAAUCAUUUAUUCUUAAGCGCG
rnacentral:lncRNA from 1 species